CCUGAUUCCGUUAAGGGAUACGUAGGCACCCCGAGGUUCGAGUUAGGGGCAACAGCAAAAUCAAACACACACGUUUUGUUUCUUUAUGAUGGAAUCAAAGGGUGUUCCCUUGAAGUAAGGGAUUGUAAUUAACAGACACGCAUCUCGAAUGGGUCAAGCCUAAAAUAAUAAAAUUUCAUUAUUUAAUUAGUUGUGGUGAAAUUAUGUUG
rnacentral:lncRNA from 1 species